GGGGCGUAAGCCUUUAGAGUCAAAGCUUUCCGAGCAAUCGGACGGCGCUUGAGGACGAGCUCGCGGCCUAUUAGCUAGUUGGUGGGGUAAUGGCCUGUCCAAGGUUAUGAUGGGAUACCCGGCUUGAGACGGGUGUUCGACCACACUGGGACUGAGGCACGGCCCAGACUCCUGCGGGAGGCAGC
rnacentral:rRNA from 1 species